AGCGAACGCUGGCGGCAGGCCUAACACAUGCAAGUCGAACGGAUCCUUCGGGAUUAGUGGCGGACGGGUGAGUAACACGUGGGAACGUGCCUUUUGGUUCGGAACAACUCAGGGAAACUUGAGCUAAUACCGGAUAAGCCCUUCGGGGAAGGAUUAUCGCCAUUAGAGCGGCCCGCGUCUGAUUAGCUAGUUGGUGAGGUAAAGGCUCACCAAGGCUACGAUCAGUAGCUGGUCUGAGAGGAUGAUCAGCCACAUU
rnacentral:rRNA from 1 species